UACCAGCACCCCGAGUGGUCGGGACGUUUAUUGGGCCUAAAGCCUCCGUAGCCGGUUCUACAAGUCUUCCGUUAAAUCCACCUGCUUAACAGAUGGGCUGCGGAAGAUACUAUAGAGCUAGGAGGCGGGAGAGGCAAGCGGUACUCGAUGGGUAGGGGUAAAAUCCGUUGAUCCAUUGAAGACCACCAGUGGCGAAGGCGGCUUGCCAGAACGCGCUCGACGGUGAGGGAUGAAAGCUGGGGGAGCAAACCGG
rnacentral:rRNA from 1 species